rnacentral:rRNA from 1 species
UACGUAGGGAGCAAGCGUUGUUCGGAUUUACUGGGCGUAAAGGGCGCGUAGGCGGCAAUUCAAGUCAGCUGUGAAAUCUCCGGGCUUAACUCGGAACGGUCAGCUGAUACUGCUUUGCUAGAGUGCGGUAGGGGAGACUGGAAUUCCUGGUGUAGCGGUGAAAUGCGCAGAUAUCAGGAGGAACACCGGUGGCGAAGGCGGGUCUCUGGGCCGUAACUGACGCUGAGGAGCGAAAGCAUGGGGAGCGAACAGG